rnacentral:tRNA from 1 species
ACCUGGGUGGCUCAGUCGGUUAAGCAUCUGACUUUGGCUCAGGUGAGGAUCUCACGGUUCGUGGGUUCGAGCCCCACGUCGGGUU